rnacentral:rRNA from 1 species
ACGGCUCAGUAACACGUAGUCAACAUAACCAAAGGACGUGGAUAAACUCGGGAAACUGAGGCUAAACCGCGAUAGAUCAAGAUACCUGGAAUGGUUUUUGAUCAAAAUCUAUAUGGCCUUUGGAUUGGACUGCGUCCGAUCAGGCUGUUGGUGAGGUAAUGGCCCACCAAACCUGUAACCGGUACGGGCUCUGAGAGGAGGAGCCCGGAGAUGGGUACUGAGAAAAGGACCCAGGCCCUAUGGGGCGCAGCAGGCGCGAAACCUCUGCAAUAGGCGAAAGCCUGACAGGGUUACUCUGAGUGACUUUCGCUAAGAAAGUCUUUUGACACCUCUAAAAUGGUGUAGAAUAAGGGGUGGGCAAGUCUGGUGUCAGCCGCCGCGGUAAUACCAGCACCCCGAGUGGUCGGGACGAUUAUUGGGCCUAAAGCAUCCGUAGCCGGUUUUACAAGUCCCCCGUUAAAUCCAGCUGCUUAACAGAUGGGCUGCGGAGGAUACUAUAAGACUAGGAGGCAGGAGAGGCAAGCGGUACUCAGUGGGUAGGGGUAAAAUCCGUUGAUCCAUUGAAGACCACCAGUGGCGAAGGCGGCUUGCCAGAAUGCGCUCGACGGUGAGGGAUGAAAGCUGGGGGAGCAAACCGGAUUAGAUACCCGGGUAGUCCCAGCUGUAAACGAUGCAGACUCGGUGAUGGACUAGCUUUAUGCUAGUCCAGUGCCGCAGGGAAGCCGUUAAGUCUGCCGCCUGGGUAGUACGGUCGCAAGACUGAAACUUAAAGGAAUUGGCGGGGGAGCAC